rnacentral:tRNA from 1 species
AAGAACUUAAGUUUAAAAAAACUAAUAACCUUCAAAGUUAUAAAUAAAAGAAAAUCUUUUAGGACUUA